rnacentral:rRNA from 1 species
CGAUUCAGCGGGUUACGAUUGACGGAGCGAAGCGACGUCAAAGCGUAUACAAAGUCGAGUCGGUUUAAGGAUACGUUCGUUGGGUAGGGGAGCGUUCUGUAAGCCUGCGAAGGUGGCCUGUGAGGGUUGCUGGAGGUAUCAGAAGUGCGAAUGCUGACAUAAGUAACGAUAAAGCGGGUGAAAAGCCCGCUCGCCGGAAGACCAAGGGUUCCUGUCCAACGUUAAUCGGGGCAGGGUGAGUCGACCCCUAAGGCGAGGCCGAAAGGCGUAGUCGAUGGGAAACGGGUUAAUAUUCCCGUACUUGGUGUUACUGCGAAGGGGGGACGGAGAAGGCUAUGUUGGCCGGGCGACGGUUGUCCCGGUUUAAGCGUGUAGGCUGGUUUUCCAGGCAAAUCCGGAAAAUCAAGGCUGAGGCGUGACGACGAGGCACUACGGUGCUGAAGCAACAAAUGCCCUGCUUCCAGGAAAAGCCUCUAAGCAUCAGGUAACACGAAAUCGUACCCCAAACCGACACAGGUGGUCAGGUAGAGAAUACCAAGGCGCUUGAGAGAACUCGGGUGAAGGAACUAGGCAAAAUGGUGCCGUAACUUCGGGAGAAGGCACGCUGACACGUAGGUGAAGUGAUUUACUCAUGGAGCUGAAGUCAGUCGAAGAUACCAGCUGGCUGCAACUGUUUAUUAAAAACACAGCACUGUGCAAACACGAAAGUGGACGUAUACGGUGUGACGCCUGCCCGGUGCCGGAAGGUUAAUUGAUGGGGUCAGCGCAAGCGAAGCUCCUGAUCGAAGCCCCGGUAAACGGCGGCCGUAACUAUAACGGUCCUAAGGUAGCGAAAUUCCUUGUCGGGUAAGUUCCGACCUGCACGAAUGGCGUAAUGAUGGCCAGGCUGUCUCCACCCGAGACUCAGUGAAAUUGAACUCGCUGUGAAGAUGCAGUGUACCCGCGGCAAGACGGAAAGACCCCGUGAACCUUUACUAUAGCUUGACACUGAACAUUGAGCCUUGAUGUGUAGGAUAGGUGGGAGGCUUUGAAGCGUGGACGCCAGUCUGCGUGGAGCCGACCUUGAAAUACCACCCUUUAAUGUUU